AGAUUUCUGCAGUUUGGGUGAGCAGGUAAAAGAGCAGUCAGGGUCUCCUGGUUCAGAUACACAGUGAACGGCAACCGUUCUCUAGAAGGCCUGAGCUCCUGUGGCUACUUCUCCAUUUACUGCUGAGGACCUGAGGCCAGAUCCAGCAGCAUCAACCAGUCAAGACUACACCCAUGGCUGCCUCGGAGGUUCCUCCCCCACUGAUCCCUUCUCAAGUUUAACCUCUAAUUACUUGACGAGGCUGCUGACUGAACAGGCCCCACAGAGGUCUCUUCAGUCCUUUGCACCCGCCUUCCACACUCUCCCCUCUGUGCUCAUUUCUGCUUCGGGCCACUCCUCUGCCGGUCGCGGCCGCACGGAACCUAGACAGACCCCGUCUCUUCCUGAAGCCUUCCGGCCGCACAUCGGCUCUCUAAUACACUGUCUCCUCUGUUUCACUCCUGUGGCUUUGUGUUUGCAUGUC
ensembl:lncRNA